rnacentral:RNase_P_RNA from 1 species
AGAGCCGCCCCCGACACCAAGCCGGGGGAGGAACUUCCGGACUCCACAGGGAAACGCGCCGCCCGAAAGGGCGGGCUGCAUGGGGUCAAACCCAUACGGACGGAAAGUGCCACAGAAAACAAACCGCCUUCGGGCAAGGGUGAAAAGGUGCGGUAAGAGCGCACCGCGCACAAGGUAACGCGUGCGGCAGGGCAAACCCCGCGCGGAGCAAGGCCAAAUAUGCCCAUAUGUGUCCCGCAUUCGUUGGCAGAGUAGGCCGCUUAGAGUAAUGGUUCUCACGGGCCGCAAGACCCGACAGAAUCUGGGGUAUGAGCCG